rnacentral:rRNA from 1 species
ACGAACGCUGGCGGCAUGCCUAACACAUGCACGUCGAACGAGACCUUCGGGUCUAGUGGCGCACGGGUGCGUAACGCGUGGGAACCUGCCCUUAGGUUCGGAAUAACUCCCCGAAAGGGGUGCUAAUACCGGAUAAUGUCUUCGGACCAAAGAUUUAUCGCCUUUGGAUGGGCCCGCGUUGGAUUAGCUAGUUGGUAGGGUAAAAGCCUACCAAGGCGACGAUCCAUAGCUGGUCUGAGAGGAUGAUCAGCCACACUGGGACUGAGACACGGCCCAGACUCCUACGGGAGGCAGCAGUGGGGAAUAUUGGACAAUGUGCGAAAGCCUGAUCCAGCAAUGCCGCGUGAGUGAUGAAGGCCUUAGGGUUGUAAAGCUCUUUUACCCGGGAUGAUAAUGACAGUACCGGGAGAAUAAGCUCCGGCUAACUCCGUG